AUUUGCAAUUUUUAGCUUCCCUUUAAACUGUUAUUACGGUAAUUAUUACCUCCCAUAAUUCUCAGCGAGUGUUACGAUGAGAACGGAGCACAGAGUCUGCUUCUCCGUCAGCUUCCUGUCUCUGCAGGGCGUCAUGCAUAGAGCAGCUGAGGACGGAAAGGAACAAAUCCUGGAGAAAACCCUUCACAGGACUCCAAGGGGGCUGGACUCAUGUGGUGGAGAACCAGAUGUGUUUGGAUGGCUUUCAGGGCUCCCCUCAAGACCACCGGCCAUCAAACUUUAACAUCAUAGCAGAGAGCCCUGCUCAUAUCUCUAGUUCAGUGGGUAAUCACUGAGAACCA